rnacentral:rRNA from 1 species
UACGGAGGGGGCUAGCGUUGUUCGGAAUUACUGGGCGUAAAGCGCACGUAGGCGGAUUGGAAAGUUGGGGGUGAAAUCCCGGGGCUCAACCCCGGAACUGCCUUCAAAACUCCCAGUCUGGAGGUCGAGAGAGGUGAGUGGAAUUCCGAGUGUAGAGGUGAAAUUCGUAGAUAUUCGGAGGAACACCAGUGGCGAAGGCGGCUCACUGGCUCGAUACUGACGCUGAGGAGCGAAAGCAUGGGGAGCGAACAGG